rnacentral:rRNA from 1 species
AUUGAACGCUGGCGGCAUGCCUUACACAUGCAAGUCGAACGGUAACAGGUCUUCGGAUGCUGACGAGUGGCGAACGGGUGAGUAAUACAUCGGAACGUGCCCGAUCGUGGGGGAUAACGGAGCGAAAGCUUUGCUAAUACCGCAUACGAUCUACGGAUGAAGCAGGGGACCGCAAGGCCUUGCGCGGACGGAGCGGCCGAGGGCAGAUUAGGUAGUUGGUGGGAUAAAAGCUUACCAAGCCGACGAUCUGUAGCUGGUCUGAGAGGAGGACCAGCCACACUGGGACUGAGACACGGCCCAGACUCCUACGGGAGGCAGCAGUGGGGAAUUUUGGACAAUGGGCGAAAGCCUGAUCCAGCCAUGCCGCGUGCAGGAUGAAGGCCUUCGGGUUGUAAACUGCUUUUGUACGGAACGAAAAGACUCUUUCUAAUAAAGAGGGUCCAUGACGGUACCGUAAGAAUAAGCACCGGCUAACUACGUG